rnacentral:rRNA from 1 species
GACGGAGGGUGCAAGCGUUAUCCGGAAUUAUUGGGUUUAAAGGGUCCGUAGGCGGGCCGAUAAGUCAGGGGUGAAAGUCUGCCGCUCAACGGUAGAACUGCCUUUGAUACUGUCGGUCUUGAGUUAUAGUGAAGUUGCCGGAAUAUGUAGUGUAGCGGUGAAAUGCAUAGAUAUUACAUAGAACACCGAUUGCGAAGGCAGGUGACUAACUAUCGACUGACGCUCAUGUACGAAAGCGUGGGGAGCAAACAGG